rnacentral:sRNA from 10 species
CAGUGAAAUUCGUUCCUACGGAACGAGUGAAAUAUCUUCGAUGUGAAAUAUUUGCCUCGCAAAUGUGAGAUAUGCCUGCGGCAUAUGAAGGAACG